UUUGAUGUUUGCUUGUUUUAGCAUUUUCUUUCUCAAGCAUAACAAAAAUAUCAAAAAGACAGAGUAAAGAUAAUCUUCAUCUCCCUUUGCUACUGUGUCAUUUCCAUUGUUGCUAUCCUUGUUAGUGUUAGUUUAUAAUUCCUCGCAAUCAUCACUUGUAUUCUGUCACCUAGCUUUAGCCGAGCAUAGUUGCCGUCGCCUAGUCCCUGUGGAGAACACGACACUCGCAGUUUGGGCGUAAAAACCCCGCUGUACUUUCAAUUGAUCAUUUUGGCGCCGUUGCCGGGGACUAGCGUCGAGCGUUUGUGUGAGGCUUUAGACUAGGUUUAGCUUGUUUCCUUUUUGUGCUUUAUAUAUUUGUGAUAUAUCUCUAGCCACUAACCCUUGUUCUAGUUAGUAUCUUUUUGUCUUCUUUUCCUUUUUGCGGGUUGGAUUAUCCUCUCGGUUAUGGCUUACUAUUCAGAUCAUCAGGCUUAUGCGAGCAACACUACAAACAGCACGGAAAGUGUUCAAGAACUGAUAGGUAAGAUUUCCCAUCGAUUAGAUGAUUUAGCUCGGCAGCGAGAAGGAGUUUUUGAGGAUAGGCCUAGCUCUUAUGAUCCUUAUUCUAGAGGUCAUCCUUAUGUUGCUCCUACAUGCCAUAUUUGUGGAUUUCAGGGCCAUUCACCCGCUGAAUGUCAGCGUGGUUACUCUCACCCUCCUGAUUGUUAUGGCAUGAGCUUCACCCCACCGCCUAGCUCAUACCAAAACAAUUACACACAUGGGUGGCCUGAAAACCAGAAUAUGUCAUAUAGGAGCAAUAACCCUGACAUCUCACUGUUUGCCUCUAGUUAUCCAAUGCAGGGAUUCAGGUACAAUGAGGAGAACCACAACUAUGCUCCACAAUAGAUUUAUUCACCUCCUACUCAUACACCUCAAUACCAGGAGAUGUGUCCAAUGGAGUUAAAUGGUCCUCCAUUUGGUCAACCAACAACUCCAGCACCUUUCGAGCAAUCUCAUGUGCAAGUGCCCACACAAGAUGAAUUUGAUGAUAUAGAGAAGCUCACAUUGCUUAGUCUCGAGUUCACUUGGAGUGCCGAGGACGAUCCUAUUAGGAAGGUUAUACUAGAUGAAAUGAAGAAGAUCAAGAGUGGAAAAGAGCUAGUGGAAGAAGUAAGGAAGAUUGAGAAGAACAUCAACGCUGGCAGCACUAUUUCUUCACAACUUGAGUUGAGUGUGGCUGAGAUAUCCAUGGAUACAUGUGAGGUUCCAACACCUUCACAUUUCGUUGAGCAAGUCAGCAAGUGCCUUGAGCAAGAGAUACCUCAGAUUGAAGAAGAUGAACUAUAAGACAAGGAACAAGAUGGUCAAGAGCUCCAAUUCCCAAGUGAUCAAGUUGAAGGCUCAUCAUCUAUUACUCCUGAAGAAGUACAAGAAGCUGUUGUAGAUGAAGAUGAAGAACAUGAGAUUUAUUUGCCUAUUGUCAUACCAGAGCGUGAUGUGUUAGGUUUACUCAAUCCUCUUGAUGACAUGAUGCCUUGUGAUUUCUUUCCUACCACCUUGCAUUACAUGAUACCAUCACUUAAGAUUGAUUUGAAAACUCAUUUGCUUGGAUAUGAUGAUAUAUACCCUGUUAGUGGCAUUGCUCUCAUUUGUGAUGAUCACAAUUACUUUCCUCAUGCUAGUCUUGAGCUUAAUGAUAAAUGUUAUCCUCGUGUGAGUAUUGACCAUGCUGAUUUCUGCCAUCCUAAACAUGUGCUUUAUAGUUAUGCUUAUAUAAUUGGAUAUUCCAUUGAUGACUUGGAGGGCAUCGACCGUAUCACAUGUAGUUGUUUGUGUGAGUCCUAUUUCAGGCUUUUGCUACUGCACUGUUUAGUACAUGCUGACCAGGUUCGAGGUGACAUUCCUUGGGAUCCUAGUGGAGUCGGAGCAUGGCGAUGAGGGGAGCACAAACAGGGAACACAAACAGAGAAGAGUGGAGAGAAGAAAGUAGGAGAGAAGAGUAUACAAAUACCAGAAAAGUGCGCAAAGGCACUAUAAUCGUCAAGACUUCUACUAUGUGGCUAACGAGAAGAGAGAAGGGCAUGAAAGAAAUACGUCAAGGCUUGACCGUGAAGGAAAGAAGUAAUGUAGGGGAGCAAACUAAAAGAAGAGGAGGAUCUUCUUGGGAAGAAAGAAGAAAGGAGGAGGGCCAAAGUAAAAAAAGACAGAACAGAGGAGGGGAUCAAAAAUCCCUAGCGCAGCCGAUCCCCAUCGGGCCUGGCAACACCUCUCCUUCCCCCUGUCUCCUUCUCCCACCUCCGGCCGCCGUCGCGGCCAGGCCAGCGUGGCGGCGCGCCAAGCAGCCCGCCAUCCAUCCAUCCAUCUCCAGCACCACAUCCAUCCAUCCAAUCAGCCACCGCCGCCAUCCAUCAACACCACUCCAUCACCACCAUCCACAGCGCCACACACCACCCACCAGCACCACCUCGCGCCCACCAUCAGACACGAUGGCGAGGGUGUCUUCCCCAGGGCGAGGCCGCCCCUGCUUGAUGGCGUGCUUCACCAGACAGGGAGGCGAGGAAGUCUGAACCCCCGUGCGACCCCCCUGCCGCUCCUGACCAGCGAUCCACUUCUUCUUCUCAUGUGCCCUCUGCCUGCUGCUCACACCCGUUGCUCCUCUCAACCUCUUUCUUCUUCCCCUCCUCUUGCUGCUGUCUUCUUCCCUGAACUCCUCCUGCUGCUGCUCCUCUGAUCUGAUGCUGAACCGAUGCUCCUCUCAACACUUGUUGUUGCUCCUCACUAGCUCCUGGACGCCCCCCUCGCUUCUCUCCAAGUCCCUCCUCUGCUCCUCUUCUUGCCCGAACCUUUUUGCUGCUCCUUCUCUGAACCUGUUGCUACAAUUGCGCUUUACUGCUUCUUGCUACCCCAUGCUGCUGAUGCCCUCAACCUCUUACUGCUAUUUCUCUUUCUCCCU